GCGAGCGUUAAUCGGAAUUACUGGGCGUAAAGCGCACGUAGGCGGAUCGAUCAGUCAGGGGUGAAAUCCCAGGGCUCAACCCUGGAACUGCCUUUGAUACUGUCGAUCUGGAGUAUGGAAGAGGUGAGUGGAAUUCCGAGUGUAGAGGUGAAAUUCGUAGAUAUUCGGAGGAACACCAGUGGCGAAGGCGGCUCACUGGUCCAUUACUGACGCUGAGGUGCGAAAGCGUGGGGAGCAAACAGG
rnacentral:rRNA from 1 species